CCUACGGGUGGCAGCAGUGGGGAAUAUUGCACAAUGGGCGAAACUCUGAUGCAGCAAUGCCGCGUGAAUGAAGAAGGUCUUCGGCUCGUAAACUUCUUUCAACAGGGACGAAAGAAAUGACGGUACCUGAAUAAUAAGCUCCGGCUAACUACGUGCCAGCAGCCGCGGUAAUACGUAGGGGGCAAGCGUUAUUCGGAAUGACUGGGUGUAAAGGGUGAGUAGGCGGUAUAGUAAGCAAGAUGUGAAAGCCUAGGGCUUAACCCGGGGGUUGCAUUUAGAACUAUUAAGCUAGAGUGCAGGAGAGGAUAGCGGAAUUCCUAGUGUAGCGGUGGAAUGCGUAGAUAUUAGGAAGAACACCAGAGGCGAAGGCGGCUAACUGGACUGAAACUGACGCUGAGGCACGAAAGCGUGGGGAGCAAACAGGAUUAGAUACCCGAGUAGUC
rnacentral:rRNA from 1 species